GACGGAGGGGGCUAGCGUUGUUCGGAAUGACUGGGCGUAAAGGGCGCGUAGGCGGUUUUUUAAGUUGGGCGUGAAAGCCCCGGGCUUAACCUGGGAACUGCGCUUGAUACUGAAAGACUAGAGGACGAGAGAGGAAAGUGGAAUUCCGAGUGUAGAGGUGAAAUUCGUAGAUAUUCGGAGGAACAUCAGAGGCGAAGGCGGCUUUCUGGCUCGUAUCUGACGCUGAGGCGCGAAAGCGUGGGGAGCAAACAGG
rnacentral:misc_RNA from 1 species